GACGAACGCUGGCGGCGUGCUUAACACAUGCAAGUCGAACGGUGAAGCGCCUUCCUUUUUGGUGGGUGUGGAUGAGUGGCGAACGGGUGAGUAACACGUGAGUAACCUGCCCCCUUCUUCUGGAUAACCGCAUGAAAGUGUGGCUAAUACGGGAUAUUCUGGGUCUGUCGCAUGAUGGGUCUGGGAAAGAUAUUGUUUCGGUGGGGGUGGGGCUCGCGGCCUAUCAGCUUGUUGGUGGGGUGAUGGCUUACCAAGGCGGUGACGGGUAGCCGGCCUGAGAGGGUGGACGGUCACACUGGGACUGAGACACGGCCCAGACUCCUACGGGAGGCAGCAGUGGGGAAUAUUGCACAAUGGGCGCAAGCCUGAUGCAGCGACGCCGCGUGAGGGAUGGAGGCCUUCGGGUUGUGAACCUCUUUCGCCAGUGAAGCAGGCCUGCCUCGUUUGUGGGUGGGUUGACGGUAGCUGGAUAAGAAGCGCCGGCUAACUACGUG
rnacentral:rRNA from 1 species